rnacentral:ribozyme from 1 species
UGAUUGCGAUCGAGGUCCUGUUCUACCUGCUGGGCAAGAGCGAAGCCUGGAACAGAUGGACGUGGGAGAGUUUGCUAGGGAUGUCGACGGAGACGGAGACAGAACG